GCUUUUUCCGGUCGUCUAAGAAGGUGCUGGAAGAUUUGUACGAAGUUGAGGAGACUGGUGGAAAGAAGGCUGUUUAAAAGCAAAAUUGGAUUGUCUAAAUUUUUGAUAUUUAUUUUCUUCAAAAAUAAAUGACACCCUAAAAAUCUACUUGUAACUUUACGACACAUUUUGCUCACUUUCGAUUAAUUUUAUGAGAGUAUAACAAUAAGGCCCAAAAUCUGAAAGCCUACUAUUGAAAGAGCUUAAGAGUCGGAGAGUAGAAUAAUAGGCUUGAAGCCCAACGACCAGACCUGAAUCUCCCUCACUAUGGACUGUUUCUGAACAUGGGCCUUUAAAUGAAACAGGCCGCUGGCACCUUCAGACCCUUUCCUAGUCAUAGUAUCAUUUGGAGCACUAAUUUUGAAGUACUUUUUUACUCACAUACAAUUGUUACUAUUGAGAAUGUUGCACUUGUAUGUAAAUAAUAGGGAAAUGGAUACACAAUAUUAUAUUACUAGGACAGCUUUCAUAAAGAAUUGCUUUCUUGGGUGACAGAUGUUCCAAAAGCAGUUUCACAAAGUUUUCAGCCGCUCCAGCUUUCUUAACACUAAAACUGAUUACUGUCAUAGGUAAAAUGUAGACAUGUCUAGUGUAGCGUAGAUAUUUAUAGUUCAAAACAGUUCACAUUGGUAUUUGAUUAUUGGAAUAAAAACAUUAAAACCUAGUCAACUGUGGAGUUUUCCAGUUUUUUAGUUCUAGUUACUCUAACUGCUUACUUUCAUCUAACAACUGACAUUUCCUAUUCAAUUGUUGAAAUCUAGCACCUAUCGUUCCUAUUUAGAGUUCUUUUCGAGCUUAUUUUACGAAGUGUUUAAAGUCUAAAUUUUUUUCACAGAAAAUCCGGCGACUGCUUUUGAACCGUAUUUCAUACACUUGAACCUUCUGUGUAAUAUUUAUUUGUUCAAAAUGAAAUCGAAUAUUAUUCAGAAUCAUUACUUAUAUUAUCAUAAGAGUUGUUCGAAUUAUUAAAAUUGUUGUUCGAACGGAAGAGGCAACCGCAACAGCAGCAACAGCAGCACACGAUGAAGACCCCCAUCAAAAUGUACACCCAAAUCUGAAAUUAAGACGAUUCUUUCAAGCUCUUUAAAGCUUUUUCAGGAUCUGAAGACCUGAGACGUUACCUCAAGAGCAAUACAGCAUUCGUUGGUGUCAUCACCGCAACGAUAGUAGUGAUGGGCAAUCGAUGGCUUACCGCACUUAUCUCCACUAAUGAUUUGGAAAAUAGUAUACAGCAACAUUUUCGGCAACCUGACAAACUUUCACGUCCACUCCGUCGCCGGCGUCCGAGUUGACAAUCGCAAAGAUCACGAUGAUCACGCAGAAGAUGAGAAAUUUGAGAUUUAGCAUAAUGAGACUCUGGAAAAAUGAUUGAUUUUUGCAAAAUAUUGCCGACUAGAACUCACAAAAUCCAACGAGACCGCCGAAUCCGACAAAGAAAAUACCGAAGACUGACUUUUCGAAAUUUUAUUUUUGGAAGCGAAACGUGUCAUCAGUGGGGUUCAAGGCUAUGACGAUCAGUGAGAAGUCACGAUUUUUUGAAAGAAAAACUGUGAGAAUAAAGAAAAAUAGAGCCCGUGCGGUGAAAAUCAAUUUUAAAGUAAAAAAAUUUCAGGGACAAACCGCCUGGCUCCAAUUUCAAUGCUAUUUAUGACCGGGUUGCUGAUGAUUUCUGUGCUGAUUAUGUGCAAGAUGAG
rnacentral:sRNA from 1 species